rnacentral:rRNA from 1 species
UACGAAGGGGGCUAGCGUUGUUCGGAAUCAUUGGGCGUAAAGGGUGCGUAGGCGGCGCGGUAAGUCGGGUGUGAAAUCUCGGGGCUUAACUCCGAAACUGCAUUCGAUACUGCCGUGCUUGAGGACUGGAGAGGAGACUGGAAUUUACGGUGUAGCGGUGAAAUGCGUAGAUAUCGUAAGGAAGACCAGUGGCGAAGGCGGGUCUCUGGACAGUUCCUGACGCUGAGGCACGAAGGUCAGGGGAGCAAACGGG